GAUGAACGCUGGCGGCGUGCCUAAUACAUGCAAGUCGAGCGAACGGACGAGAAGCUUGCUUCUCUGAUGUUAGCGGCGGACGGGUGAGUAACACGUGGAUAAUCUACCUAUAAGACUGGGAUAACUUCGGGAAACCGUAGCUAAUACCGGAUAAUAUUUUGAACCGCAUGGUUUAAAAGUGAAUGACGGUCUUGCUGUCACUUCUAGAUGGAUCCGCGCUGCAUUAGCUAGUUGGUAAGGUAACGGCUUACCAAGGCAACGAUGCAUAGCCGACCUGAGAGGGUGAUCGGCCACCCUGGAACUGAGACACGGCCCAGACACCUAAGGGAGGCAGCAGUAGGGAAUCUUCCGCAAUGGGCGAAAGCCUGACGGAGCAACGCCGCGUGAGUGAUGAAGGUCUUCGGAUCGUAAAACUCUGUUAUUAGGGAAGAACAUAUGUGUAAGUAACUGUGCACAUCUUGACGGUACCUAAUCAGAAAGCCACGGCUAACUACGUG
rnacentral:rRNA from 1 species